GAAAGUACGGCUCAGUGGUAGAGCACAUGCCUAGUAUUCAUGAGGUCCUGGGUUUAAUCCCCAGCACCUCCA
rnacentral:tRNA from 1 species